CUGCAUGCAGCUGAUGACACCACGUCUGCUGAGACUGAUUGCUCAGUCUCAGGAAAUGCCCUGACACACCAUGG
ensembl:snoRNA SNORD105B small nucleolar RNA, C/D box 105B